rnacentral:rRNA from 1 species
AAGCNUGGCUCAGAUUGAACGCUGGCGGCAGGCCUAACACAUGCAAGUCGAACGGUAACAGGAAACAGCUUGCUGUUUCGCUGACGAGUGGCGGACGGGUGAGUAAUGUCUGGGAAACUGCCUGAUGGAGGGGGAUAACUACUGGAAACGGUAGCUAAUACCGCAUAACGUCGCAAGACCAAAGAGGGGGACCCUCGGGCCUCUUGCCAUCGGAUGUGCCCAGAUGGGAUUAGCUUGUUGGUGGGGUAACGGCUCACCAAGGCGACGAUCCCUAGCUGGUCUGAGAGGAUGACCAGCCACACUGGAACUGAGACACGGUCCAGACUCCUACGGGAGGCAGCAGUGGGGAAUAUUGCACAAUGGGCGCA